CAGCCGCCGCGGUAAUACGAAGGGGGCUAGCGUUGCUCGGAAUUACUGGGCGUAAAGGGAGCGUAGGCGGACAUUUAAGUCAGAGGUGAAAGCCCGGGGCUCAACCCCGGAACUGCCUUUGAGACUGGAUUGCUAGAAUCUUGGAGAGGCGGGUGGAAUUCCGAGUGUAGAGGCGAAAUUCGUAGAUAUUCGGAAGAACACCAGUGGCGAAGGCGGCCCGCUGGACAAGUAUUGACGCUGAGGUACGAAAGCGUGGGGAGCAAACAGGAUUAGAUACCCGCGUAGUCCCUGUCUCUUAUAU
rnacentral:rRNA from 1 species